UGCAUUUCCAUCUGAGGGAUAUCAUUUUCUAGGGUAAAUAUGCUUCCCUAAUGGAAAACAUGGACCUCUUUAGAAUCAGAAAUCUCAUCUGUACCUGAACCUGAUUUCAACUCCCAAAUCCUGAAUUUGAAUUGACAAUCUAAAAUAACAAGGUUUUGAGAUCCUGGGAGGAAGCAGCCAGCUGUCAUGUCAUAAAAACUUUUAAGUGAUCCUAUGAAGAGACCCAAGGGGUGAGGAACUGAGACCUCAUGAUAACAUCCAGCAUGAAUUUAGCUGUGGGAGCCAGUCACAUUGGAAGUGGAUCUUGCAGCCCCAGGCAAGACUGGAGAUGACUGCAGCUUUUGUGAACAUCUUCACUGCAAUAUCAUUACAUACCCCGAGCCUGAGCCAGACAGUUGAGCCUUUCCCAGAUUCCUGACCCUCAGAAACUCUUAUUUUAAUAAAUUCUUAUUUUUCUACAUUGCUAAGUUGUAGGGUGAUUUGUAUAAAGCAGUAGGUAAUUGGCACAAUUAGACACUCAGUAGGCAUUUGGUCACAUAAAGUAUGCCUCAGAUAGUUUGCAAAUGCCUCUGGAGGUUUGCCAUUGUUCCUCCAACAUGGUAGGUUUUCUAUCAGGAUUUGCUGAUUGAUUGUGUUCUUCCUAAAAAAAAAUCUAGGGAAUUUUCAUGGGAAACUGAAUGGAUAGCUGUCAUUCUUUUCCUAUCCAUUUUCUCAGUUUUUCCCGAGGACGGAGUAGUUCAAGUUGAACUCUCAGCUCCACAUAUGGAUAUGCGGCACAGGUCUGG
rnacentral:lncRNA from 10 species